GCGGACGGGUGAGUAAUGCCUGGGAAAUUGCCCUGAUGUGGGGGAUAACCAUUGGAAACGAUGGCUAAUACCGCAUAAUAGCUUCGGCUCAAAGAGGGGGACCUUCGGGCCUCUCGCGUCAGGAUAUGCCCAGGUGGGAUUAGCUAGUUGGUGAGGUAAUGGCUCACCAAGGCGACGAUCCCUAGCUGGUCUGAGAGGAUGAUCAGCCACACUGGAACUGAGACACGGUCCAGACUCCUACGGGAGGCAGCAGUGGGGAAUAUUGCACAAUGGGCGCAAGCCUGAUGCAGCCAUGCCGCGUGUAUGAAGAAGGCCUUCGGGUUGUAAAGUACUUUCAGCAGUGAGGAAGGCGGAGUCGUUAAUAGCGGCCUCGUUUGACGUUAGCUGCAGAAGAAGCACCGGCUAACUCCGUGCCAGCAGCCGCGGUAAUACGGAGGGUGCGAGCGUUAAUCGGAAUUACUGGGCGUAAAGCGCAUGCAGGUGGUUUGUUAAGUCAGAUG
rnacentral:rRNA from 1 species